UACAGAGGUCCCAAGCGUUGUUCGGAUUCAUUGGGCGUAAAGGGUGCGUAGGCGGCGCGGUAAGUCGGGUGUGAAAUCUCGGAGCUUAACUCCGAAACUGCAUUCGAUACUGCCGUGCUUGAGGACUGGAGAGGAGACUGGAAUUUACGGUGUAGCGGUGAAAUGCGUAGAUAUCGUAAGGAAGACCAGUGGCGAAGGCGGGUCUCUGGACAGUUCCUGACGCUGAGGCACGAAGGCCAGGGGAGCCAACGGG
rnacentral:rRNA from 1 species